rnacentral:rRNA from 1 species
CCUACGGGUGGCAGCAGUGAGGAAUAUUGGUCAAUGGACGAGAGUCUGAACCAGCCAAGUAGCGUGAAGGAUGACUGCCCUAUGGGUUGUAAACUUCUUUUAUAAAGGAAUAAAACGCGGCACGUGUGCAUUUUUGCAUGUACUUUAUGAAUAAGGAUCGGCUAACUCCGUGCCAGCAGCCGCGGUAAUACGGAGGAUCUGAGCGUUAUCCGGAUUUAUUGGGUGUAAAGGGAGCGUAGAUGGGUUGUUAAGUCAGUUGUGAAAGCUUGCGGCUCAACCGUAAAAUUGCAAGUGAUACUGGCAGUCUAGAGUACAGUUGAGGUAGGUGGAAUUCGUGGUGUAGCGGUGAAAUGCUUAGAGAUCAAGAAGAAUCCCGAUUGCGAAGGCAGCUUACUAAAAUGUGACUGACAUUGAUGCUCGAAAGCGUGGGGAUCAAACAGGAUUAGAUACCCUUGUAGUC